rnacentral:rRNA from 1 species
AGGGCACCACCAGGAGUGGAGCCUGCGGCUUAAUUUGACUCAACACGGGGAAACUUACCCGGCCUGGACACUGGAAGGAUUGACAGAUUGAGAGCUCUUUCUUGAUUCAGUGGGUGGUGGUGCAUGGCCGUUCUUAGUUGGUGGAGCGAUUUGUCUGGUUAAUUCCGAUAACGAACGAGACUCUAGCCUAUUAAAUAGGCUCUCGGCUUUUAAACGCCGGGAGGACUUCUUAGAGGGACAGGUGGCGGUUCAGCCGCACGAAAGAGAGCAAUAACAGGUCUGUGAUGCCCUUUGUUGUCCGGGGCCGCACGCGCGCUACACUGAAGAGAUCAGCGUGCUUUACGUUCCUGCUCCGACCGGAGUGGGGAACCCAGUGAACCUUCUUCGUGAUUGGGAUAGAAGAUUGUAAUUAUUCUUCUUGAACGAGGAAUUCCCAGUAAAUGCGAGUCAUAAGCUCGCGUUGAUUACGUCCCUGCCCUUUGUACACACCGCCCGUCGCUACUACUGAUUGAACGAUUU